rnacentral:rRNA from 1 species
UAGGAGGGCAAGUCUGGUGCCAGCAGCCGCGGUAAUUCCAGCUCCAAUAGCGUAUAUUAAACUUGUUGCAGUUAAAAAGCUCGUAGUUGAAUUUUUGCGUGGUGUUAAUAUUGACUGAUGUCGAGAUUGCACUUCGCUUUUGGGAUUUUUCCCUUUUUACUUUGAGAAAAUUAGAGUGUUUCAAGCAGACUUUUGUCUUGAAUACUUCAGCAUGGAAUAAUAGAGUAGGACUUUGGUUCUAUUUUGUUGGUUUGUGAACCUUAGUAAUGGUUAAUAGGAACGGUUGGGGGCAUUCGUAUUUAACUGUCAGAGGUGAAAUUCUUAGAUUUGUUAAAGACGAACUACUGCGAAAGCAUUUGCCAAGGACGUUUUCAUUAAUCAAGAACGAAAGUUAGGGGAUCGAAGACGAUCAGAUACCGUCGUAGUCCUAACAUAAACUAA